rnacentral:rRNA from 1 species
GAUGAACGCUGGCGGCAUGCCUAAUACAUGCAAGUCGAGCGAACGGACGAGAAGCUUGCUCCUCUGAUGUUAGCGGCGGACGGGUGAGUAACACGUGGAUAACCUACCUAUAAGACUUGGAUAACUUCGGAAAACCGGAGCUAAUAACGGCUAAUAUUUUCAACCGCAGGGUUCAAAAGUGAAAGACGGUCUUGCUGUCACUUAUAGAUGGAUCCGCGCUGCAUUAGCUAGUUGGUAAGGUAACGGCUUACCAAGGCAACGAUGCAUAGCCGACCUGAGAGGGUGAUCGGCCACACUGGAACUGAGACACGGUCCAGACUCCUACGGGAGGCAGCAGUAGGGAAUCUUCCGCAAUGGGCGAAAGCCUGACGGAGCAACGCCGCGUGAGUGAUGAAGGUCUUCGGAUCGUAAAACUCUGUUAUUAGGGAAGAACAUAUGUGUAAGUAACUGUGCACAUCUUGACGGUACCUAAUCAGAAAGCCACGGCUAACUACGUG